rnacentral:rRNA from 1 species
UACGUAGGGUGCGAGCGUUAAUCGGAUUUACUGGGCGUAAAGCGUGCGUAGGCGGUCCCCCAAGUCCGCUGUGAAAGCCCCGGGCUUAACCUGGGAAUGGCAGUGGAAACUAUGGGACUUGAAUCUGGCAGAGGGGGGUGGAAUGCCACGUGUAGCAGUGAAAUGCGUAGAGAUGUGGCGGAACACCGAUGGCGAAGGCAGCCCCCUGGGCUGAGAUUGACGCUCAGGCACGAAAGCGUGGGGAGCAAACAGG